UACCAGCACCCCGAGUGGUCGGGACGUUUAUUGGGCCUAAAGCAUCCGUAGCCGGUUCUACAAGUCUUCCGUUAAAUCCACCUGCUUAACAGAUGGGCUGCGGAUGAUACUAUAGAGCUAGGAGGCGGGAGAGGCAAGCGGUACUCGAUGGGUAGGGGUAAAAUCCGUUGAUCCAUUGAAGACCACCAGUGGCGAAGGCGGCUUGCCAGAACGCGCUCGACGGUGAGGGAUGAAAGCUGGGGGAGCAAACCGG
rnacentral:rRNA from 1 species